rnacentral:rRNA from 1 species
CAGCAAUGCCGCGUGGAUGAAGAAGGUCUUCGGAUUGUAAAGUCCUUUCGACGGGGACGACGAUGACGGUACCCGUAGAAGAAGCCCCGGCUAACUUCGUGCCAGCAGCCGCGGUAAUACGAAGGGGGCUAGCGUUGCUCGGAAUGACUGGGCGUAAAGGGCGCGUAGGCGGUUCGGUGCAGUGAGGCGUGAAAUUCCUGGGCUCAACCUGGGGGCUGCGCUUCAUACGGCCGGACUUGAGUGGGGAAGAGGGUCGUGGAAUUCCCAGUGUAGAGGUGGAAUUCGUAGAUAUUGGGAAGAACACCGGUGGCGAAGGCGGCGACCUGGUCCUUGACUGACGCUGAGGCGCGAAAGCGUGGGGAGCAAACAGGAUUAGAUACCCUGGUAA